ACCUGCUCUAUGAUUAAUAAUUAAAUGGCUGCGGUAUUUUGACCGUACAAAGGUAGCAUAAUCAUUAGUUUUUUAAUUAAGAACUGGUAUGAAGGGUUGGACGAGAAAAAAGCUGUCUCAAUUUAAUUUUAUUAGAAUUUUAUUUUUAAGUUAAAAAGCUUAACUAUAUUUAAAAGACGAGAAGACCCUAUAGAGUUUAAUAUUUUAUUAUAUAAAUAAAUGUUUAAGUAUUAGUAUUUAUUUAAAUAAUUUAAUAUUUAAUUGGGGUGAUUAAAAAAUUUAAUUAACUUUUUUUAUAUUUUAACAUUAAUAUAUGAUUAAAUGAUCCAUAUUUUAUGAUUAAAAGAUUA
rnacentral:rRNA from 1 species